AUGGCGUCGGCGUCGGCCUCCACCGACGUCGCGUCCUCGCGCGAGGCGAGUCGCCAGGCCGGGAAGAAAGCGCUGGAGGAGUUCCGUAAGAAGAAGAAGAAGGCCGCGAAGAAGGCCACCGCCGCUGUAGUAGACCAGGCAGCGCCUGUGGUUCCCAGCGUAGUGGAGAACCCCCUGCCAAAUUCCAAUAAUGGUAACACCGGAGAGGGUUUGGUGUCUGCUUUGGACUCGAGCACACCAAGCACAUCAUCUGCGCCAUCUGCUUCCUAUGAGAAUGGCCCAACCACUUCUUCCAGAGUCACCGGAUUUCUGUCGAAUGGUCCUGUAGUUGCAGAUGCAUCAGCUAAUGUUACUACUGUUGCCCCCCUGCAAGAUUCUGUUGAUGACGGAGGGAGCAAGUUUUAUGGAAACUUGAGCUUUUCCGAUCUAGUUAAUGGGCAUCACGAUGAUUGGAGAGGCGAUACUGCCCGUAAAAGGGUAGAGCUCAGUCCUGGCAAGGAUGCCCCUUUAACAUCUAAAUUAAGUGCAUUUGGAAACACUGACAGUGGUUCCCAGUCUACUGAGGUCUUGUCAAAAUGGGGAGGAAAUUCUUUGUUGAGUCAAGUACAUGGUAUCGAGCAAUCCAGUUCAUUUUCAUCCGGCAACCUUCUUGGGAAGUCUGAAAGCACUUUCUCUCAGGAUUACUCCCCAGAAAAUGAUAUCUUCGGCCGCUCACGAGCUACCUCCAAAGACUCUUCCCAAGCAGGGCACUCUGCAUAUACCAGCAACCGGGACUAUGACAGUAUCUUUAGUAGUUCUAAGGUCGCUGAUGGUUUAGAUCAUGAUGCAAAUAUUGGAAUGCUUCGGAAUGCAUUAAAUUCCACAUCUGCUAAUUUUGAUAAACAGGAUCCUUUUCUGUCAACUGCUUAUCCAACUGCAUACAAUCGAUCUCGGCCAUCUUUUCUUGAUUCUAUUGGGGUACAAAGAGCUCUUCCAGCAGAAGCCCCGUACGUUGAACCUUCGAAAGCAAGCAAUAAGCUAUUCAGCAGUUCAAAUUCCGAGAGUUCUUCUGUUCAGCAGCCAAGCCAACAAUCCACACAAAACAAUGUCGUGGAUAAUUCUGUUAUAGCAGGGAGACAAGAGUAUAAUAGUGAAAAGGGGCCAUAUGGCAAUUCUAUACUUCCUGAUUCCUUGCCUUCCAAAGAUGAAAAAAGUCUGCAGUAUGGUAAUCAAAUGUUCCAAGAUUUCACAAGUCGUGAGAAAGAUGACGGUUUUGCAUCACUAGAGCAGCUCAUUGAAGAUUUGACAACAGAGAAGUUUUCGUUACAAAGGACUUUAGAGAAAUCUCAAGAACUAGCCCAAAAUUUGGCAACGGAUAACUCAGCAUUGACAGAUAAAUUCAACCAACAGGCACACGUUAUCAGCCAGUUGACCUCUGACAUGGAGAGGUUGCAGGAUGAAAUUCAAGCUCAACUGCUGGCACUUGAGACCAUCAGAUCGGAAUAUGCCAAUGCCCAACUAGAAUGCAAUGCUGCAGAUGAGAGGGGCAAAGUACUCGCAGCAGAAGUCAUUCUAUUGGAAGAUAAGGCUCUUAAACUGAGGUCAAAUGAGUUGAAACUUGAAAAGGAAGUGGAGGGUUUAAAUUCAGAGAUUUCUUCCUACAAACGCAAAGUUUCUAGUCUAGAGAAGGAACGUCAACAUCUUCAAUCUACUGUUGAGGCUCUUCAAGAAGAAAAGAAGCUCCUACACUCUAAAUUGAGAAACAUUCCUGUGAGUGAGAAGGUAAAUGUCAUAGAAAAACCAUCAGUCGACAAAAGAGAUGCAUCAACUGCGACGGAGGAUUUAGAUACAGGGGAAAGCAGCUCUUCACAAACACUGACCAGUACCAGUGACCCAUUACAAGAUGUUGGAACAUCUGUUUCACAGUUUAAUAAUAUGUCUGAUUUUCCUUCCUUCGGAGAGGCAUCUUCUAGCAUUCCAGACGAUCAGCUCAGAAUGAUUGACAACAUCAACUCCUUGAUGUCGGAGUUAGCAGUGGAGAGAGAAGAGCUAAUGCGGGCACUGAGAAUCGAGUCAUCCAACUGCUCCAAGCUGAAGGAGCUGAACAGGGAUCUAACACAAAAGCUGGAGACUCAGACACAGAGACUUGAGCUAUUGACUUCUGAAAGGAUGGCCAAUGAGAAUGUCCUUGCAAGACAGGUCGACACACACUUCAAUGAUGCAACAAUGUAUGCUGAUGAAGGGGACGAGGUUGUCGAAAGGGUGCUUGGCUGGAUAAUGAAGCUCUUCCCUGGAGGGCCAAAGCGUCGCACCAGCAAACUCAACUAG
rnacentral:rRNA from 1 species